UAGUAGCGGCGAGCGAAGCGGGAAGAGCUCAAAUUUAUAAUCUGGCACCUUCGGUGUCCGAGUUGUAAUCUCUAGAAAUGUUUUCCGCGUUGGACCGCACACAAGUCUGUUGGAAUACAGCGGCAUAGUGGUGAGACCCCCGUAUAUGGUGCGGACGCCCAGCGCUUUGUGAUACAUUUUCGAAGAGUCGAGUUGUUUGGGAAUGCAGCUCAAAUUGGGUGGUAAAUUCCAUCUAAAGCUAAAUAUUGGCGAGAGACCGAUAGCGAACAAGUACCGUGAGGGAAAGAUGAAAAGCACUUUGGAAAGAGAGUUAACAGUACGUGAAAUUGUUGGAAGGGAAACGCUUGAAGUCAGACUUGCUUGCCGAGCAAUCGGUUUGCAGGCCAGCAUCAGUUUUCCGGGAUGGAUAAUGGUAGAGAGAAGGUAGCAGUUUCGGCUGUGUUAUAGCUCUCUGCUGGAUACAUCUUGGGGGACUGAGGAACGCAGUGUGCCUUUGGCGGGGGUUUCGACCUCUUCACACUUAGGAUGCUGGUGGAAUGGCUUUAAACGACCCGUCUUGAAACACGGACC
rnacentral:rRNA from 1 species